rnacentral:tRNA from 1 species
GACUUGGUAGCUCAGUAGGUUAGAGCGUCGGAUUGUGGUUCCGAAGGUCGUGGGUUCGAAACCCAUCCUAGUCC